GCGCAUGUCGUAUAGUGGCCUAGUACCUCUGCCUUCCAAGCAGAAGACGCGAGUUCGACUCUCGCUAUGCGCUCCA
rnacentral:tRNA from 1 species